rnacentral:rRNA from 1 species
AUUGAGCGCUGGCGGCAUGCCUUACACAUGCAAGUCGAACGGAUUUUGGGGCUUGCUCCAAAGUUAGUGGCGAACGGGUGAGUAAAGCAUCGGAACGUACCCAGUCGUGGGGGAUAACGUAGCGAAAGUUACGCUAAUACCGCAUACGAUCUGAGGAUGAAAGCGGGGGACCUUCGGGCCUCGCGCGAUUGGAGCGGCCGAUGUCGGAUUAGCUAGUUGGUGGGGUAAAGGCUCACCAAGGCGACGAUCCGUAGCUGGUCUGAGAGGACGACCAGCCACACUGGGACUGAGACACGGCCCAGACUCCUACGGGAGGCAGCAGUGGGGAAUUUUGGACAAUGGGCGAAAGCCUGAUCCAGCCAUGCCGCGUGAGUGAAGAAGGCCUUCGGGUUGUAAAGCUCUUUCAGACGGAAAGAAAUCUCUCGGGUGAAUAUCCCGGGAGGAUGACGGUACCGUAAGAAGAAGCACCGGCUAACUACGUGCCAGCCGCCGCAGUAA